AACCUGUAAGUCCAUUUCCAUAAGUAAAUGAGCAAAACCUUAAAGGAUAUGACAUAUAUGGAAACUCCACCAAAGAUGUUUAUCACAAAGGAUCAGAACCAACUAUGGAAACUCUCAAGAAGUCAACAAAACCAUAGUCAUAUCAUGUUCAAUAAUGGUCUCAAGCAAGUCACCAAGAGUCAGAGAUUAUACCUUAACAAGAGAAAGUUCUUAUAUACCUUUGCAAUCGAAAUUUCACUGUCUUUCGAUUGGAUAGAGAUCUCUCGAGCAAACAUUUGUCUGGCUGACUUAGUGACCUGUAAAUUAAGUAAAUCAAGAAACAACAACAUGAGAAAAUCUUAUGAAAGCUAGCAUCAACAAUAAUCACUUUCUCAGAUAUCAUCAAUCAUUAUUUGGUGGUUCAAGAUCCAAGGAAGAAUCAUAUUGUGGAUUACAAAAUUGAACCUCUUGGUAAGUUUUGGGUCUUGGUGAGUCUUUAUUAAGCUGACUGAGAAAACGAGGGUAAGCAGAAGCUGAGGCAAUCCUAUUCCGAGGAAAAGGGAUCUUCUUUUCAAUUCCAGUCCAAGAACAAGGACGACGACGUUGAUCAUGAUCAUACCUGAUGAUCGUUAAACAACAUAAACCCAUGUAUCCCAAUCGCAGACUUACACCACAAAUCUCCCAAUUUCUAAACAUUUCUCAAUACAAACAUAAGAGCAUAACACAAGUGAAGAGAUUAGUAAAUCACCUGAGAGUAGUAGUAGUAGUAGUAUGAUGACCAAAUCCAACAAAUCUGGAAGCUGGUGAAGAAGCAGCCAUCAUAGUCAUAGCUGAAGC
rnacentral:lncRNA from 1 species